rnacentral:lncRNA from 1 species
GUUUGAAAAGCACUAAAUGGAUGAUGUGGAAAAGUGAAAUAAUAAUAUUGCAGAUGCAGGCAUGAAAUCUGGAUUAAUAUUUUUGGGGGAGUCAAAGUAAGCUGCACUGGAAAGACUGAAAGCAAACAAACAAACAAACAAAAAACAAAAAACAGAAAAACAAAACAAAACAGAACAAAGCAAAAACAACAGAUGGUCCAUCUGGAUUGGACAGGAGAUUUUCACUUGAAGGCUCCACCAGUCCUCUUUCUAUUAAGUGGGCUAAUUGGGAAGUAUUAUUGAGCUGCUGUGGUGACCAGUGUGGAGUAGAGCCUUAACCUAGAUGGAGAGAUUCUGUAUAAGCAUCUUCUGAAUGGGAGAGGUCUGUCCAUCCAGUCAGAAGCAGCAGGAGACAGGACGAGAGACAGGGCUGGAGAUGACCUACAGUGCAUGCCUGAAAGGUUCAUGUGGAAGACUCCAGGUUCUCCUGAAAGGAAAGGGACAUCUGUCUGAAGAAAUUUAGCCUGGGCAGAAAAGAGGCUGAGCACAUGGCUUUCCCUGCUAUGUCUCAAGGCUCUGUGAAACACCAUACAGGUGAAAAAAGAUCUGUCAGUGCAGUGUUACAAGAAGCAGAACAUACAUUCGCAGCCUGAACAAAAGUUAAAUUGAGGAUGUGGUGUGGUACAGUAUUUGCUUGGACUGAUAAUUUCUGGCUGGUCAAGGUCUGAACACUUUGAAUGGACUUCUUUUGGCAUUUGGAUGUACC